rnacentral:lncRNA from 1 species
UUUUAUUGAGAAAGAAAGAGGAUAGAAACAGUUAUAAUAUGUCCAAGAAACAUUUCGAGAAAUCGAAAAAAAAAGCAAAGGCUAGAAAAACAAAUCCUUCCCUCUUCUCUUCCCUAAGUACAUCUCCAUGAUUUAAACUAAAAUAUACAUAUCUAAGAUAAAAAUCAUUUAUGUACGGGCCCAAUUUUACCCUGGCCUUAAACACAAAACACAAAUAAUAAAACAAAAUUAAAACAAAAAGCCCAAUUACAGAGGCCCAAUACCCAAACCCGAAAACUAAAGUCAACUUAGGGUUUCAGUUUCUGAAACCCUAAGCGCCGCACUAGCUCCAGACCGAUGGUCUUCUGCCGCCACUCGCUUCAGACCCUUGGUCUCCGGGCCGCUGCGCGUCUGUCACCGCCACUGACCCAUCAUCGGCGCAUGUCAAUCACCUACAGAAGAAAGAUCAACACGCAAGCAGCAAAAAUAAUAGGGAAAAUAUAAACAAAUCGACUAUAAAAAGCCGAAUGCUCCUCUUGUACCUUCUUCUUCUUCUUCCUUUACAAGUGAUUAAUAAAAAAAAGAGCAGAUCAAAAAAAGAUUAAAAAAGGUUGACUUCAGUUUUUUCUUUCUUUCAGUUCUUUUAUUUUUUUAUUUCAUUUUUUAUUAUAUUUUAUUUUAUUUUUUUAGUUUCUACUACCUAUCUUAACAAAAACAAAACAAAAAGGACGAGGGGAGUACCUGCUUGCUUCGGGAGUCGGUGCCGGAACCUGUCUUCGCCGUCACCGGAGUUGGAUAGGUAGAGGUCUCUUUCUCCUUUUUUCUCUCAUUCCCACGAUCGAGAAGGCCAAGCCUUCAGGGACACCGUGAAGUGAGGGCUGAAAAGCCCGUUUCGCGACUCUGGCCACCUGCCAUGACGGUUGUACGCCGAGGGCCAAGGAACUCAAUGGCCGAAUUUUUGAGAAAAAGGGAGAAGGGAUUUGUUUUCUUUUAGGGCUGGUAGC